rnacentral:tRNA from 1 species
GGGUCCAUGGCACAGUCUGGUAGCGCGAUUGGCUCUUAACCAAUAGGUCAGGGGUUCGAAUCCCCUUGGACCCA